rnacentral:lncRNA from 1 species
AGAAACCAGCGUUGACUAAAAAUGUAUGCUCCUCCAGGAUAUCAAGAAAUGUCAUACUUUGAUCAUAUUCAAAGACGCAGGGAGGAAAAGGGCCAUCUUUAUGCUUGGUUUGUACCUUUAUAAUCACUUUUUUUGAUUAAUUUCACUAUUUUUUGGAUUAAAACUCUGCUUUAUACAUAUUAUUUGAUUGUAAUUUCCAGCCUGUUUGCUCUUUGUUGCUGUUUCCUUUGCUACGAGACUUGUGAGUGCUGCUUGGAUAUCUGCUGCUGCUCCUGCGCUUAGUGCAUGUUUGGUCGGGAUUAUGAAUUAAACGAAUUUGAAUCUUAUUUAUUGUAUUGUCUACACUUGUGUGUCUUAUGAUGUGUACUAAACGUAUUGAUGAAUGAUAAUAUACUGUUGAAUGAUUGAGUAAAUUAGUGAAUAAGUUUUAUGCAGUGAUGCUCAUUUUAAGGUUUUUUCAGUUUCUUUUUCUAUAAUUUCUUUGAUGUUCAAUGUUGUUACCAAAGUCACAAGAGAGCAAUAAUUAUUAACAACCAUAAAGUUAAAUUGCUAGUUCUUUGUAUAAAAUGGGAGAAGAACAUAUUUUUUGGGGUGGAGCAAUGCGGUGGUUGGCGGUGGCCGGAUGGUUGUUGGGAUGGGGCCGCGAGGAUUAAAGGGGAAGGUGAAGGUGUUUUCACAGUAACUUAAAAGCAUUUUUAAACCGGAUCUUUCUCCACGUAUCACUUUUACCUAGAAAUAAAAUGUUUUAAGAUAAUGUCAAGAAAAAAGUCGUGGCUGGAAAUGAAAAUUACAUCAACGUAAGCGACUAUUAUAAUUUCUAGAACAAGAACUCGUGUCUAAAUGUCUAUGGAUGCCAUAAUCUUGUAAAAUAAGUAAUUCUUGCUGUACUAUUAAAAUAAGUAAUCUUUUAACAACUCUUGACAAAUAAAAAACUUAAAUAAUUCCGAACUUCCAUGCAAAACUCACAAUCAGCCCAGUUCCUGUUGUGUCAAGCACCAUUCCCAUUUUUUGGUAAAAUGUAUUACAUAAUGAUGAUUUUUGGAGAAUGCGAAAUUAAAAAGUGAGUUUUAUUUUUUUUAAAAUACAUUUAUAAUUAUUUUAUGGGAGGAUGUGUGAUUGAAAAUAAGAUUUAAAAAAAAUGCGUUCUUGAAAAAAUGAAGCUCAAUGUUAAUUUCUUUUUGGACGACAGUAAUUUUGAUACUUAUACAAUUCAAUCAUGCUAUAUAAAUAGAAAUUUUGAAAUAAUAUCACAAGACAUUAUCAUUGAAAUGUUUUAAACAUAGUUAACUUUUUUCAUUGCAUUAGUUUAGCCGACAACGGUAGACGAAGUGACCAGAUUUGCAAAUGACUAUAAGUUGGGUGACUUGAUUAUAUCAAAUUGAAGAUGAGUGCCCCAGAUGAAACUUCUCUCACAGUUGGGUGACCUUCUGUCCAUUUAACCCGUUACUUAGUAAUUAAGUUUAAAUGGAGACCAUAUGACUAAAUCUGAGCCGUUGAUGCAAAAUUUCACCCUAUAUAUGUACCCAUAAUUUUCUUUAUGAUGCCCUCACUUUUUCUUGCUUUCACCAUUAGAAACCAGCGUUGACUAAAAAUGUAUGCUCCUCCAGGAUAUCAAGAAAUGUCAUACUUUGAUCAUAUUCAAAGACGCAGGGAGGAAAAGGGCCAUCUUUAUGCUUGGUUUGUACCUUUAUAAUCACUUUUUUUGAUUAAUUUCACUAUUUUUUGGAUUAAAACUCUGCUUUAUACAUAUUAUUUGAUUGUAAUUUCCAG